rnacentral:rRNA from 1 species
UACGAAGGUGGCAAGCGUUGUUCGGAUUUACUGGGCGUACAGGGAGCGUAGGCGGUUGGGUAAGCCCUUCGUGAAAUCUCCGGGCCCAACCCGGAAAGUGCGGAGGGGACUGCUCGGCUAGAGGAUGGGAGAGGAGCGCGGAAUUCCCGGUGUAGCGGUGAAAUGCGUAGAGAUCGGGAGGAAGGCCGGUGGCGAAGGCGGCGCUCUGGAACAUUUCUGACGCUGAGGCUCGAAAGCGUGGGGAGCAAACAGG